GCACUCCCGGGGCGUCUCUAUCUCAUUGCGAGAGGAGGCGCACCUAGAGCGUACACGCUGAUACCCGAAAGAUGGUGAACUAUGCCUGGCCAGGACGAAGCCAGGGGAAACCCUGGUGGAGGUCCGCAGCGAUUCUGACGUGCAAAUCGAUCGUCGGAGCUGGGUUUAGGGGCGAAAGACCAAUCGAACCAUCUAGUAGCUGGUUCCCUCUGAAGUUUCCCUCAGGAUAGCUUGCGCUCGGACGAGAAGAGUCUCAUCCGGUAGAGCGAAUGAUUAGAGGCCUUGGGGUCGAAACGACCUCAACCUAUUCUCAAACUCCAAAUAGAUGAGAACCCUGGCUUUCUUGAAUUAUGAAGCCAAGGGGUUUCGGAUCAGAGUGCCAAGUGGGCCAAUUUUGGUAAGCAGAACUGGCGCUGUGGGAUGAACCAAACGCGGAGUUAAGGCGCCUCAAUCGACGCUCAUGUGAUACCAUGAAAGGCGUUGGUUGCUUAAGACAGCAG
rnacentral:rRNA from 1 species